GUUUACUGGUUGUCAAACUCGUUCCCAUUAAUGGAACUUAUUUCUCAACAAGGAAAGACAAACUUAUCUGGAAGAAUACCUUCAGUUGCACUCUGAAUCAUAAUUCCUCACUGGUGAUCUGAUUGUUGUGCAUAGGCGUUCCCCAGAUUUUACUUCAGAUGCAGCAUAGAUGGCUAAUUUCUAGAGAAGUAAAAUACAUUUUAGUUAUUUACAGAAACAUUGGUACUACUCUGAGCACAACUAGUAAAUUAUAUCUAAGAGAAAAUUGUGGUUCUCCAUCAAUGAGUUAGAAGAAAAUGAACAGACAAAUAAAAAAUUUGGUGUCGCCAACCGCAGCAAGGGGACUGUAGAGAGGAAGUAUUGUGGUGAAGGCAUACCACAUAUACACAAUAUUAUUUUA